rnacentral:rRNA from 1 species
UACGUAGGGGGCUAGCGUUGUCCGGAUUUAUUGGGCGUAAAGAGCGUGUAGGCGGCCGGGUAAGUCCGGUGUGAAAACUCGAGGCUUAACCUCGAGAUGUCAUCGGAAACUAUUCGGCUAGAGUCCGGAAGAGGAGAGUGGAAUUCCUGGUGUAGCGGUGAAAUGCGCAGAUAUCAGGAAGAACACCCGUGGCUAAGGCGGUUCUCUAGUACGGUACUGACGCUGAGACGCGAAAGCGUGGGGAGCGAACAGG